rnacentral:rRNA from 1 species
UACUCGAGUGGCUAACGGGUGAGUAACACGUGGGUGAUCUGCCCUGCACUUCGGGAUAAGCCUGGGAAACUGGGUCUAAUACCGGAUAGGAGCCAUUUUUAGUGUGAUGGUUGGAAAGUUUUUUCGGUGUAGGAUGAGCUCGCGGCCUAUCAGCUUGUUUGUGGGGUAAUGGCCUACCAAGGCGGCGACGGGUAGCCGGCCUGAGAGGGUGGACGGCCACAUUGGGACUGAGAUACGGCCCAG